AGCUUUGCGCAGUGGCAGUAUCGUAGCCAAUGAGGUUUAUCCGAGGCACCAUUAUUGUUAAUUGAAAUCUUUUUCCAAUACCCCACCAUGAGUUCUAAGAUUUAUACUGUAUCUUUGACUUACAAUUCAUUUAAAAGACAUUGU
ensembl:snRNA U4 U4 spliceosomal RNA